rnacentral:siRNA from 1 species
ACAAAGAGUCUAGGAUGGAUGAA